CCCUUAGAUGUUCUGGGCCGCACGCGCGCUACACUGACGGAGGCAGAGAGCGUGUCCUUCGCCGGCAGGUGCGGGCAAUCUUGCGAGUCUCCGUCGUGCUGGGGAUAGAUGGUUGCAAUUGUCGAUCUUGAACGAGGAAUUCCUAGUAAGCGCGAGUCAUCAGCUCGCGCUGAUUACGUCCCUGCCCUUUGUACACACCGCCCGUCGCUACUACAGAGUGCCCGUGUCCAAGAAACGGUCGGACCUGUGCGGCCUCUCCGGGCGACCGGAGGGCCGUUACGGGGAAGACCCUUUAUUUGACGCGGGUCGAUGAAGUAAAAGUCGUAACA
rnacentral:rRNA from 1 species